GCUGCUGCUCGCGGCCCGUGGCCGGAGCCGCUUGGCAUGGGCCCUGGCCUUCGUGGCGCUCGCGGCCACCGCCGCCAGCCACUACAUGGAAGGCAGGGUGGACCGCAUCUUCCUUGCCGCCGCCCCGGGGGGUGCGUACAUCGCCUUCGACGUCGCAAUGGGCUUCGUUCUAGCGCUGAUUGACCUGAUCGGCUUCCUCUGCCUCCUCAUCCUCGGCGACGGCGGAGGAGAGGAGUAGCCCCGGUCCGGGCAGGGGAACGGCGGAAGCAUGCCUUGCAAAGAAGCCGACGUAGAUCAGAGUUAGCUAGCUGCUCGAUGGUUUCGAUCUCUGGAAGCUCCGUCAUGGAUGAGCUCAAUAAAAUUAAGGGACUUGCGUGUUAUUGUUUGCUCAUGAGGUACUGAUUGUGAUCAAUCCAGUGUAGUAGUGCGUCGUCGUGUCGACUAGUAUGUGUACUGGUCUGAGAUGGUGUUCACCGGUACUCCCUCCCUCC
rnacentral:lncRNA from 1 species